rnacentral:rRNA from 1 species
UCGACCUGAGCUCAGGCAAGACUACCCGCUGAACUUAAGCAUAUCAAUAAGCGGAGAAA